AGCGUACACGGUGGAUGCCCUGGCAGUCAGAGGCGAUGAAGGACGUGCUAAUCUGCGAAAAGCGUCGGUAAGGUGAUAUGAACCGUUAUAGCCGGCGAUGUCCGAAUGGGGAAACCCAGUGCAAUUCGUUGCACUAUCGUUAACUGAAUACAUAGGUUAACGAGGCGAACCGGGGGAACUGAAACAUCUAAGUACCCCGAGGAAAAGAAAUCAACCGAGAUUCCCCCAGUAGCGGCGAGCGAACGGGGAGCAGCCCAGAGUCUGAAUCAGCUUGUGUGUUAGUGGAACGGUCUGGAAAGUCCGACGGUACAGGGUGAUAGUCCCGUACACCAAAAUGCACAGGUUGUGAACUCGAAGAGUAGGGCGGGACACGUGGUAUCCUGUCUGAAUAUGGGGGGACCAUCCUCCAAGGCUAAAUACUCCUGACUGACCGAUAGUGAACCAGUACCGUGAGGGAAAGGCGAAAAGAACCCCGGCGAGGGGAGUGAAAAAGAACCUGAAACCGUGUACGUACAAGCAGUGGGAGCACCUUCGGGUGUGACUGCGUACCUUUUGUAUAAUGGGUCAGCGACUUAUAUUCUGUAGCAAGGUUAACCGUAUAGGGGAGCCGCAGGGAAACCGAGUCUUAACUGGGCGUUAAGUUGCAGGGUAUAGACCCGAAACCCGGUGAUCUAGCCAUGGGCAGGUUGAAGGUUGGGUAACACUAACUGGAGGACCGAACCGACUAAUGUUGAAAAAUUAGCGGAUGACUUGUGGCUGGGGGUGAAAGGCCAAUCAAACCGGGAGAUAGCUGGUUCUCCCCGAAAGCUAUUUAGGUAGCGCCUCGUGAAUUCAUCUUCGGGGGUAGAGCACUGUUUCGGCUAGGGGGUCAUCCCGACUUACCAACCCGAUGCAAACUACGAAUACCGAAGAAUGUUAUCACGGGAGACACACGGCGGGUGCUAACGUCCGUCGUGAAGAGGGAAACAACCCAGACCGCCAGCUAAGGUCCCAAAGUCAUGGUUAAGUGGGAAACGAUGUGGGAAGGCACAGACAGCCAGGAUGUUGGCUUAGAAGCAGCCAUCAUUUAAAGAAAGCGUAAUAGCUCACUGGUCGAGUCGGCCUGCGCGGAAGAUGUAACGGGGCUAAACCAUGCACCGAAGCUGCGGCAGCGACACUAUGUGUUGUUGGGUAGGGGAGCGUUCUGUAAGCCUGCGAAGGUGUGCUGUGAGGCAUGCUGGAGGUAUCAGAAGUGCGAAUGCUGACAUAAGUAACGAUAAAGCGGGUGAAAAGCCCGCUCGCCGGAAGACCAAGGGUUCCUGUCCAACGUUAAUCGGGGCAGGGUGAGUCGACCCCUAAGGCGAGGCCGAAAGGCGUAGUCGAUGGGAAACAGGUUAAUAUUCCUGUACUUGGUGUUACUGCGAAGGGGGGACGGAGAAGGCUAUGUUAGCCGGGCGACGGUUGUCCCGGUUUAAGCAUGUAGGCUGGUUGUCCAGGCAAAUCCGGAUAAUCAAGGCUGAGGUGUGAUGACGAGGCACUACGGUGCUGAAGUAACAAAUGCCCUGCUUCCAGGAAAAGCCUCUAAGCAUCAGGUAACAUCAAAUCGUACCCCAAACCGACACAGGUGGUCAGGUAGAGAAUACCAAGGCGCUUGAGAGAACUCGGGUGAAGGAACUAGGCAAAAUGGUGCCGUAACUUCGGGAGAAGGCACGCUGGUGUGUAGGUGAAGUCCCUGCGGAUGGAGCUGAGACCAGUCGAAGAUACCAGCUGGCUGCAACUGUUUAUUAAAAACACAGCACUGUGCAAACACGAAAGUGGACGUAUACGGUGUGACGCCUGCCCGGUGCCGGAAGGUUAAUUGAUGGGGUUAUCCGUAAGGAGAAGCUCUUGAUCGAAGCCCCGGUAAACGGCGGCCGUAACUAUAACGGUCCUAAGGUAGCGAAAUUCCUUGUCGGGUAAGUUCCGACCUGCACGAAUGGCGUAAUGAUGGCCAGGCUGUCUCCACCCGAGACUCAGUGAAAUUGAACUCGCUGUGAAGAUGCAGUGUACCCGCGGCAAGACGGAAAGACCCCGUGAACCUUUACUAUAGCUUGACACUGAACAUUGAGCCUUGAUGUGUAGGAUAGGUGGGAGGCUUUGAAGCGUGGACGCCAGUCUGCGUGGAGCCAACCUUGAAAUACCACCCUUUAAUGUUUGAUGUUCUAACGUUGGCCCCUGACCGGGGUUGCGGACAGUGUCUGGUGGGUAGUUUGACUGGGGCGGUCUCCUCCCAAAGCGUAACGGAGGAGCACGAAGGUUAGCUAAUCCUGGUCGGACAUCAGGAGGUUAGUGCAAUGGCAUAAGCUAGCUUGACUGCGAGCGUGACGGCGCGAGCAGGUGCGAAAGCAGGUCAUAGUGAUCCGGUGGUUCUGAAUGGAAGGGCCAUCGCUCAACGGAUAAAAGGUACUCCGGGGAUAACAGGCUGAUACCGCCCAAGAGUUCAUAUCGACGGCGGUGUUUGGCACCUCGAUGUCGGCUCAUCACAUCCUGGGGCUGAAGUAGGUCCCAAGGGUAUGGCUGUUCGCCAUUUAAAGUGGUACGCGAGCUGGGUUUAGAACGUCGUGAGACAGUUCGGUCCCUAUCUGCCGUGGGCGCUGGAGAAUUGAGGGGGGCUGCUCCUAGUACGAGAGGACCGGAGUGGACGCAUCACUGGUGUUCGGGUUGUCAUGCCAAUGGCACUGCCCGGUAGCUAAAUGCGGAAGAGAUAAGUGCUGAAAGCAUCUAAGCACGAAACUUGCCCCGAGAUGAGUUCU
rnacentral:rRNA from 1 species